GCAGCUCUCCCGAGCCACCGGCUGGUCAAGAGAGCGUGAGGGGAAGGGAGAGCGGCGGGUGACAAGGCCGAGCCAGGAUGGGCCUGCAGGCCUCAGGUGGGAGGAGGGGAAGGCGCUCCCUCCCUGGCAAAGGCCUUUGGGCCAGAAGCACGAAGUCUGAGAAGGCUGAGCAAGAGGGGAAGCGACCGAGGAGAAGUCAGGGCUCCUAAGAGGAAGCUCAAGCUCGCCGCACUGAAUACAGGACGAGGACAGGGUGUCAGGAGCCGGGCACGAGGAGAUGGCGCGGGGAGAGGAGGGUGAAUCGCCGGCAGUGAGGAGGUGCCAGGAAAUGAAGGGAGGUGCAGGGAGAGCGAGGGCCGCGAGGAGUCCGGGUCCAGGGACCUUUGAGGACCCACUGCCUCCCACGGCGUGGACUCAGCAGAAGGAACAGAGCAGCCGCGGAGGGGAGGGCGCAGAAACCCGCGCAUGGAGAGGGUGCGAGGCGAGCAAAGGAGCAGCGUGGACGGGCGAGGAGGGGACGCAGACCCCUCACGGGAGCCAUCGGAGGACCCCUGACCACCUCGCGAGGCGCUCGAUGGCCUGGGAAAGCCGAGGCCUCUCCCAGAGCGACAGCACCCGGCCCAGGAGGAGGGAAUGGUCCCCGACGUCACUGUGCAGAAAGUGAAGGACGAGGGCCCUCAGGUGGAGCACAGAGCCACCUCGGAGGCAGUGACCGUCCCUGGUUCCAGCUGGGAGAAAAACGGGUAAUUAAACUGGGCCUGUAAGUCCCAAGUGAAUCAAGCCAGGAAACACAGCAGAGGUCUCCAGGAACACCCAAGUUCAUGAUUCCAGAAGCCACCUGGCAGUGAAGCUGGAUCUCAGAGGAAGUUGGGACAGGUUCCAUUGGCUUGGAAUGAAAACUAUCUUCCUUUAUGCCCUCAUGGUCUCCGACUGCUCUGUUGAACAAAUGAAGUCUUGAGCUCAUCUGCAGACAGGAGGACCUCACAGGAGAAUAGCUGCAAAGCAAGCCGAUGUGGAGACAAGGCGAGCCCGGUUUCCUGGCGACGUGAGCUGUAGCCGGGGUCUGUCGCCCUGGCUGGUGGGCUCGCCUCGCGGAACGUCAGACUGAGAAUGCAGUAGCUUCCAAAAGUUACUGU